UUCUCGCCACCAUUUUCUUUGUUGGCGGUGACUAGCACAGAAGCGGCUCCUUUCACUGAAACAGUAACGGCGCUUUCCGGUGUUGGAGAAAGCAAGCGGUCUCGCCGGGCUUUGGCCGCCUCCUAUUGCUGCGCUUCUAGGGCCAGCCUCGAUGAGCCCUUCCCCUCGGGUCCUGCCCCCCACUCCGGCGGGCGAACCCCACGCCCGCUCCUUUUCGCCGUGGCCGCAGAUGGCGCCUGCCCCGGGGGCCGCGGGCCUCUCCUUCCUGUCGCCGUUCCUCGUCUUCUUCGCGCUCGCCGCCGCUCAACUGCCCUUUGAGGCCUUCCAGGCAGGACACGGCACCUCCUCCCUGCCUACCGGCCAUUCUGCGGCGCCUCUCCGACGGUAUCUUUUGUAUGAUGUAAACCCACCUGAAGGUUUCAACCUCCGAAGAGACGUGUAUAUACGAGUUGCCUCUCUUAUAAAAACUUUGUUAAAAAAUGAAGCCUGGGUACUGGUUUUACCUCCCUGGGGACGUCUCUAUCAUUGGCAAAGCCCUAAUAUUCAUCAGGUCCGAAUUCCUUGGUUGAGUUUUUUUGAUGUUCCAAGCCUCAAUAAAGAUACGCCUGUUAUUGAGUAUGAAGAAUUUAUUUCAGAGUCAGGUGGACCCUUUAUUGACCAGGUGUACGUCCUGCAAAACUAUGCUGAAGGAUGGAAAGAGGGAACAUGGGAAGAAAAAAUAGAUGAGAGACCAUGCAUUGACGAGCUCAUGUAUUCAACAGACAAACAUAAAUACUACAGGGGAUGGUUCUGGGGUUAUGAAGAAACAAGGGCCCUGAAGGUGACAUGUUUAUCUGUCCAAGGCUCUGCCUCUAUCGUAGCUCCUUUGCUUCUGAACACUUCCAGUCGGUCAGUGAUGCUAGACAGAGCUGAAAAUAUUCUUCACAACCAUUAUGGUGGCAAAGACUACUGGAAUACUCGUCGAAGUAUGGUGUUUGCUAAACACCUUCGUGUGGUCGGGGACAUGUUUAGAAUCAAAUAUUUAAACUCUACUGAUGAGAAGGACAGGACACAGUACAUUGAGGACUGGACACAGAUGAAGGUAAAGCUGGGCAUGGCCAUAGGUGGCCCAUAUCUUGGAGUUCACCUGAGACGCAAAGACUUCAUUUGGGGUCACAGAAAUGAUGUGCCCAGCAUCCAGGGUGCAGUGAAGAAAAUCCGCAGCCUCUUAAAGUUGCAUAAACUUGAGAGAGUUUUUGUAGCCACUGAUGCCACUGCAGAGGAGACAGAAAAGUUGAAGAGACUGCUUCCAGAAAUGGUGAGGUUUGAACCUACUUGGGAGGAAGUGGAACUCUACAAAGAUGGAGGAAUAGCAAUUAUUGACCAGUGGAUAUGUGCACAUGCCAGAUGACAUGAUCUUAUUGUCAACAACUCAAGUUGGACUGAGAACAUUGCUAAGAUGGUUUAGUUUUUACUGUGCAGAAAAUGAUUAAUCACACUAAUUCCAAAGUCAUGCUUUUUGGCAAAGAGAAAAGAAAAAAGGAAAAUGGUAUAUAAAUGCAAAAGAGCUAGAGCAGAUAUUUUAUAGGCACCUCAGUUUCUACAUUUUCCUUCCGCAUUCAUGAAGAAAGGGAGAUUCUGGGUUUUGACCCCAAAACAACCUACAACAGAUUUUGUGGAGAUGAAGAGAGAACCUGUGAACAGCCAACUCACUGGAAAAUUGUAUAUUAAAUUGUGUAUUUAGUUCAAUUAGUGAGCAGUUGUUGGGCUCACUAAAACAAUGAGACAAUCAUUUUUGUG